rnacentral:lncRNA from 1 species
CAAAGCCCUCUUGGAAGGAUAAGUUUACAAAACAAAUUUAAAAAUAGUGAUUUUCAAGGAUUUGGCCAGAUCAUGAUUUUUUUUUUUUUUCAGAAGUCCGAAGAACUAAGUUCAAAACUUUUGAAAAUGUAGAGUUCUCAAGAGUUUGAGAGAGCCUUACUGGGAGAAUGCAGCCGGGCUGGGCAGAAUGCAGCCGGGCUGGGCAGAAUGCAAUCCCCAGCAAACUUGUGGUGCUGACAUAAAGAAGCGUCUCAAAAUGCUCAACUCAAACCUCUGAAGCAUGGAAGGAAACCUAUCAAGCUCUCUGUCAAAACUCCAUAAAGAUCCAGAAUAAAUAAAGAAUGCUUACAAUUCAACAAUGUAAAGACAAAUAACAAAUAAGUGGGCGAAUGAUUUCAAUAGACUUUUCCCAAAAAAAGUUGCAUGACAAAGAAUAAGCUCGUGAAAGGGUGCUCAACAUUGUUAAUCAUUAGGGAGACGCAAUGCAAAAACAGAAAGAUGGAUGGAAACUUUUCACCCACUAAAAUGCAUGCAACAAAAAAGACAGAUAACAGGUAUAAUGAUGUAGAAAAACUGGAACCUUAUGUUACUGGUGGGAAUGUAAAGUGGUACAGAGGCUUUGGAAAAUAAUCUGGCAGUUCCUCAAAUGAUAUAACAUAGAAGACAGCAAUUCUACACCUAGAUAUGUACCCAAGAAAAAUGAAAACAUUUCUAAACAAAGAUGCGUACGUGGAUAUUGAUAGCUACAUUAUUCCUUAUGGCCCAAAGUGGCAACAAUCUAAAUGCCCAUCAACUGAUGAAUGAAUAAAGAAAAUGUGUUAUAUCUAUACAAUGGAAUAUAAAGAAAUGAAGUACUGUUCCAUGCUACUACACAGAUGAUCCCUGAAAACAUUAUGUAAAAUAAAAGCCAGUCACAGAGGAUAACAUGUUGAGUGAUUUCAUUUAUAAAAACAUACGUAAUAGGAAAAUCCAUAACAUCAGAAAUUUACAAAUUACUAUUGGCAGGAGUGGAGCAUAGGAUAGGGUGGGAAAUGGGAAGUAACUG